rnacentral:rRNA from 1 species
CCAGACUCCUACGGGAGGCAGCAGUGGGGGAUAUUGGACAAUGGGGGGAACCCUGAUCCAGCGACGCCGCGUGAGUGAAGAAGUAUUUCGGUAUGUAAAGCUCUGUCAGCAGGGAAGAAAGCAAUGACGGUACCUGACCAAGAAGCCCCGGCUAACUACGUGCCAGCAGCCGCGGUAAUACGUAGGGCGCAAGCGUUAUCCGGAAUUACUGGGUGUAAAGGGAGCGUAGACGGCUGUGCAAGUCUGGAGUGAAAGGCGGGGGCCCAACCCCCGGACUGCGCUGGAAACUGUAUGGCUGGAGUGCAGGAGAGGUAAGCGGAAUUCCUAGUGUAGCGGUGAAAUGCGUAGAUAUUAGGAGGAACACCAGUGGCGAAGGCGGCUUACUGGACUGUAACUGACGUUGAGGCUCGAACGCGUGGGGAGCAAACAGGAUUAGAUACCCCCGUAA